UACAGAGACUGCAAGCGUUAUUCGGAUUCACUGGGCGUAAAGGGUGCGCAGGCGGCCAAGUGUGUGAGGCGUGUAAGCCCGGGGCUUAACCCCGGAAUUGCACCUCAAACUACAUGGCUAGAGCAUUGGAGAGGGUAGCAGAAUUCACGGUGUAGCAGUGAAAUGCGUAGAUAUCGUGAGGAAUACCAGAGGCGAAGGCGGCUACCUGGACAAUUGCUGACGCUCAGGCACGAAAGCGUGGGGAGCAAAAGGG
rnacentral:rRNA from 1 species